GAUGAACGCUGGCGGCGUGCCUAAUAAAUGCAAGUCGGGCGAACGGACGAGAAGCUUGCUUCUCUGAUGUUAGCGGCGGACGGGUGAGUAACACGUGGAUAACCUACCUAUAAGACUGGGAUAACUUCGGGAAACCGGAGCUAAUACCGGAUAAUAUUUUGAACCGCAUGGUUCAAAAGUGAAAGACGGUCUUGCUGUCACUUAUAGAUGGAUCCGCGCUGCAUUAGCUAGUUGGUAAGGUAACGGCUUACCAAGGCAACGAUGCAUAGCCGACCUGAGAGGGUGAUCGGCCACACUGGAACUGAGACACGGUCCAGACUCCUACGGGAGGCAGCAGUAGGGAAUCUUCCGCAAUGGGCGAAAGCCUGACGGAGCAACGCCGCGUGAGUGAUGAAGGUCUUCGGAUCGUAAAACUCUGUUAUUAGGGAAGAACAUAUGUGUAAGUAACUGUGCACAUCUUGACGGUACCUAAUCAGAAAGCCACGGCUAACUACGUG
rnacentral:rRNA from 1 species